rnacentral:rRNA from 1 species
AGCGUACACGGUGGAUGCCCUGGCAGUCAGAGGCGAUGAAGGACGUGCUAAUCUGCGAAAAGCGUCGGUAAGGUGAUAUGAACCGUUAUAACCGGCGAUGUCCGAAUGGGGAAACCCAGUGUGAUUCGUCACACUAUCGUUAACUGAAUACAUAGGUUAACGAGGCGAACCGGGGGAACUGAAACAUCUAAGUACCCCGAGGAAAAGAAAUCAACCGAGAUUCCCCCAGUAGCGGCGAGCGAACGGGGAGCAGCCCAGAGUCUGAAUCAGCUUGUGUGUUAGUGGAACGGUCUGGAAAGUCCGACGGUACAGGGUGAUAGUCCCGUACACCAAAAUGCACAGGUUGUGAACUCGAAGAGUAGGGCGGGACACGUGGUAUCCUGUCUGAAUAUGGGGGGACCAUCCUCCAAGGCUAAAUACUCCUGACUGACCGAUAGUGAACCAGUACCGUGAGGGAAAGGCGAAAAGAACCCCGGCGAGGGGAGUGAAAAAGAACCUGAAACCGUGUACGUACAAGCAGYGGGAGCACCUUCGGGUGUGACUGCGUACCUUUUGUAUAAUGGGUCAGCGACUUAUAUUCUGUAGCAAGGUUAACCGUAUAGGGGAGCCGCAGGGAAACCGAGUCUUAACUGGGCGUUAAGUUGCAGGGUAUAGACCCGAAACCCGGUGAUCUAGCCAUGGGCAGGUUGAAGGUUGGGUAACACUAACUGGAGGACCGAACCGACUAAUGUUGAAAAAUUAGCGGAUGACUUGUGGCUGGGGGUGAAAGGCCAAUCAAACCGGGAGAUAGCUGGUUCUCCCCGAAAGCUAUUUAGGUAGCGCCUCGUGAACUCAUCUUCGGGGGUAGAGCACUGUUUCGGCUAGGGGGUCAUCCCGACUUACCAACCCGAUGCAAACUACGAAUACCGAAGAAUGUUAUCACGGGAGACACACGGCGGGUGCUAACGUCCGUCGUGAAGAGGGAAACAACCCAGACCGCCAGCUAAGGUCCCAAAGUCAUGGUUAAGUGGGAAACGAUGUGGGAAGGCACAGACAGCCAGGAUGUUGGCUUAGAAGCAGCCAUCAUUUAAAGAAAGCGUAAUAGCUCACUGGUCGAGUCGGCCUGCGCGGAAGAUGUAACGGGGCUAAACCAUGCACCGAAGCUGCGGCAGCGACACUAUGUGUUGUUGGGUAGGGGAGCGUUCUGUAAGCCUGCGAAGGUGUGCUGUGAGGCAUGCUGGAGGUAUCAGAAGUGCGAAUGCUGACAUAAGUAACGAUAAAGCGGGUGAAAAGCCCGCUCGCCGGAAGACCAAGGGUUCCUGUCCAACGUUAAUCGGGGCAGGGUGAGUCGACCCCUAAGGCGAGGCCGAAAGGCGUAGUCGAUGGGAAACAGGUUAAUAUUCCUGUACUUGGUGUUACUGCGAAGGGGGGACGGAGAAGGCUAUGUUAGCCGGGCGACGGUUGUCCCGGUUUAAGCAUGUAGGCUGGUUGUCCAGGCAAAUCCGGAUAAUCAAGGCUGAGGUGUGAUGACGAGGCACUACGGUGCUGAAGUAACAAAUGCCCUGCUUCCAGGAAAAGCCUCUAAGCAUCAGGUAACAUCAAAUCGUACCCCAAACCGACACAGGUGGUCAGGUAGAGAAUACCAAGGCGCUUGAGAGAACUCGGGUGAAGGAACUAGGCAAAAUGGUGCCGUAACUUCGGGAGAAGGCACGCUGGUGUGUAGGUGAAGUCCCUGCGGAUGGAGCUGAGACCAGUCGAAGAUACCAGCUGGCUGCAACUGUUUAUUAAAAACACAGCACUGUGCAAACACGAAAGUGGACGUAUACGGUGUGACGCCUGCCCGGUGCCGGAAGGUUAAUUGAUGGGGUUAUCCGUAAGGAGAAGCUCUUGAUCGAAGCCCCGGUAAACGGCGGCCGUAACUAUAACGGUCCUAAGGUAGCGAAAUUCCUUGUCGGGUAAGUUCCGACCUGCACGAAUGGCGUAAUGAUGGCCAGGCUGUCUCCACCCGAGACUCAGUGAAAUUGAACUCGCUGUGAAGAUGCAGUGUACCCGCGGCAAGACGGAAAGACCCCGUGAACCUUUACUAUAGCUUGACACUGAACAUUGAGCCUUGAUGUGUAGGAUAGGUGGGAGGCUUUGAAGCGUGGACGCCAGUCUGCGUGGAGCCAACCUUGAAAUACCACCCUUUAAUGUUUGAUGUUCUAACGUUGGCCCCUUACCGGGGUUGCGGACAGUGUCUGGUGGGUAGUUUGACUGGGGCGGUCUCCUCCCAAAGCGUAACGGAGGAGCACGAAGGUUAGCUAAUCCUGGUCGGACAUCAGGAGGUUAGUGCAAUGGCAUAAGCUAGCUUGACUGCGAGCGUGACGGCGCGAGCAGGUGCGAAAGCAGGUCAUAGUGAUCCGGUGGUUCUGAAUGGAAGGGCCAUCGCUCAACGGAUAAAAGGUACUCCGGGGAUAACAGGCUGAUACCGCCCAAGAGUUCAUAUCGACGGCGGUGUUUGGCACCUCGAUGUCGGCUCAUCACAUCCUGGGGCUGAAGUAGGUCCCAAGGGUAUGGCUGUUCGCCAUUUAAAGUGGUACGCGAGCUGGGUUUAGAACGUCGUGAGACAGUUCGGUCCCUAUCUGCCGUGGGCGCUGGAGAAUUGAGGGGGGCUGCUCCUAGUACGAGAGGACCGGAGUGGACGCAUCACUGGUGUUCGGGUUGUCAUGCCAAUGGCACUGCCCGGUAGCUAAAUGCGGAAGAGAUAAGUGCUGAAAGCAUCUAAGCACGAAACUUGCCCCGAGAUGAGUUCU